AACGCACCUUGCACUCUUUGGUAUUCCGAAGAGUAUGUCUGUUUGAGUGUCAUGAAACUCUCAACCCCCCUGUUUUGUAAUGAGACGGGCGUGGGCUUGGAUCGUGGCUGUUUGUCGGUCUCUCAUCGAGCCGGCUCAGCUGAAAUACAUGAGCGACCAGAUUGAAUAAAUGACGGCUUGACUCGGCGUAAUAAUAUUACUCGCUGAGGACGUCUAAUUUCAAAUAGGCGCUUCUAAUGACUUAGCCCUUUUCAGCUUUAGACCUCAAAUCAGUCAGGACUACCCGCUGAACUUAA
rnacentral:misc_RNA from 4 species